rnacentral:rRNA from 1 species
UACAGAGGUGCCGAGCGUUAGGCGGAAUCACUGGGCUUAAAGCGUGUGUAGGCGGACUUCUAAGUCCCUUGUGAAAUCCCACGGCUCACCCGUGGAACUGCUGGGUAUACUGGUCGUCUUGAGCCACCUAGGGGCGAGCGGAACAAAUGGUGGAGCGGUGAAAUGCGUAGAUAUCAUUUGGAACGCCAACGGUGAAAACAGCUCGCUGGGGGUGUGCUGACGCUGAGACACGAAAGCCAGGGGAGCAAACGGG